AUUAUGUCGUCUAAAACAGGUAAUUUUCUUUCUUCCUUCCCAACUUGAAUGCUUUUUUUUCUUGCCUAAUUGCUCUAAUUGGAACUUUUAGUCAAGCUCGGUCAUCCUGUCUUGUUCCUGAUCUUAGGGGAAAACUUUCAGUCUUUCACCACUGAGUAUGAUGUUAGCUAUGGGUAUUUCAUAAAUGGGCCUUAUUAUGUUGAAAAAUCUCUGCAUUAGAGAAUAACCUCUAAAUCAUUUAUUAAGCCCUUCUGUAUGUUUUAAUUGUAAGUAGAAUCACAUUGAAUCCAUAGGCUAAUAUUGAGGCUACACUAAUGAUAAAUUUGCAUUCUGUACCACAGAAUAUUGUCACAGGAAAUGUUACUGGAGAGGAGGAAGAAUGCUGAUGAUAAUGAAUAUAAAUUCAUAAUGUUUAAUGAUACUACUUUAAAUGAGAAAUAUUAAUAUUUUUCAUAUGAGGAAAAUAAAAUUAUAAGAGAUGUAUAAAGGCAAAAAAUCAAAACCUAUGAAUUUAGGAGUCUGUAAGCUUUACUAUUUUUCACUUCUUUUUAAAAUUAUUUCCCCUUUUCUUCUUCUAGCAUGUCCCGUAAGCACGGAAAAAGUACAAUCUAAGGGCAGUGAAGCAGGUGUCGGACUUCUCAUGUUUCUGAUUAUUCUUAUAGUUAGUAAGUGUCUCAAACUUAGAUACCACUUAAAAUAUUACUGUGGAAAAGUGCAUGAUUUUUUAAUGAUUUCUCAGCUUGUACAGUUUUUAUAUUAAGUAAACAGUCUACAAAAAGCCUCCUUUUGUAUGACAUAUUACUUAUGUUCAUGAUUGUGUAUUCUUCUAUAUUCCAUAUUUUCAUUUAAUAACAAACCCUAAGUAACACAUAUGUUUUCAAUAUGACUAGUCAUAUGAGUUUUCAUCCCAAAUAUGCUUUGGAUAUUUUUCUAAAUUAGGAAAGGACUCUUCUCUGACUUACCGUGGACUGUUUAAGUGAGUCUAUGGAAUUGCAUUUAGACAGUGAAGAGUCCAGAUGGAAUAUGAAUGUACAUGUGCUUAAAUAAAAUAAUAUUGCUGCCCACUGAAA